rnacentral:lncRNA from 1 species
CACAUUGACCCACUUCCCUGACAAAGCUUUGUUACUUACUUGUGAGUUCCAAAACCACGGGCCGACCUACAAAAUUAAAAAGAAAAAUAUUUACAUCUACAAAAAAUGCAUAUCGAGAUGUAAAUGUGGCUUUAGAUUCUCGAAUUUGAUCUCUCCAUUAGAGAUGCUCUUAUAAAUGUUAUUUUGAUUUUUGGCUUUUCUUGUCUGUUAAAUACGUUUUACUCCUCAAUUAUGGUGCUUAUUUUAUUUUUGCAUUCUAUAACAUUUUGUGUCGUCGUUUUAUUUUGAUUCAGCUUCUUUUUUUUUUGUCAACUAUUGCAUUUUUUUUUGCCUGCGUGGAUUCUAGCUGAAGCCUGUCGAAGGAGGUUUUGAAAUUAAACUUUCAAUGAGGUGGUGGAUGUCAUCAUGCCAUCAUGCAGCUUAGAUUUUCAUUGUAGCUUGACACAUCACUCUUUUACCGAUCCAAUGACUAAUAAAUUAACACAUACAGUAAAAGGAAAAACAAAGAAAAAUGUUUGGGGAAAUACAUCAAACAUGGUUUCUUCUACUUCUUCUUAUAAUCCCUUUCUGUCUUCUAACUCUAUCUUCGAAUCGCUC